rnacentral:rRNA from 1 species
GAUGAACGCUGGCGGCGUGCCUAAUACAUGCAAGUCGAGCGAACAGACGAGAGUGCUUGCACUCUCUGACGUUAGCGGCGGACGGGUGAGUAACACGUGGGUAACCUACCUAUAAGACUGUGAUAACUUCGGGAAACCGGAUCUAAUACCGGAUAAUAUUUAGCUUCGCAUGAAGCAAUAGUGAAAGACGGUUCUGCUGUCACUUAUAGAUGGACCCGCGGUGUAUUAGCUAGUUGGUGAGGUAACGGCUCACCAAGGCAACGAUACAUAGCCGACCUGAGAGGGUGAUCGGCCACACUGGGACUGAGACACGGCCCAGACUCCUACGGGAGGCAGCAGUAGGGAAUCUUCCGCAAUGGACGAAAGUCUGACGGAGCAAUGCCGCGUGAGUGAAGAAGGUUUUCGGAUCGUAAAACUCUGUUGUAAGGGAAGAACAAGUACGUUAGUAACUGAACGUACCUUGACGGUACCUUAACAGAAAGCCACGGCUAACUACGUG